UACAGAGGGGGCAAGCGUUGUUCGGAAUUACUGGGCGUAAAGGGCGCGUAGGCGGCCUGCUAAGUCGAACGUGAAAUCCCUGAGCUCAACCCAGGAACUGCGUCCGAUACUGGUUGGCUUGAAUCCGGGAGAGGGACGUGGAAUUCCAGGUGUAGCGGUGAAAUGCGUAGAUAUCUGGAGGAACACCGGUGGCGAAGGCGACGUCCUGGACCGGCAUUGACGCUGAGGCGCGAAAGCGUGGGGAGCGAACAGG
rnacentral:rRNA from 1 species